UACGUAGGGGGCAAGCGUUGUCCGGAAUCAUUGGGCGUAAAGAGCGUGUAGGCGGCUUGGUAAGUCCGCUGUGAAAGUCCAGGGCUCAACCCUGGAAAGCCGGUGGAAACUGUCAAGCUUGAGUCCGGAAGAGGCGAGUGGAAUUCCUGGUGUAGCGGUGAAAUGCGCAGAUAUCAGGAGGAAUACCAAUGGCGAAGGCAGCUCGCUGGGACGGUACUGACGCUGAGACGCGAAAGCGUGGGGAGCAAACAGG
rnacentral:rRNA from 1 species